CCUACGGGUGGCAGCAGUGAGGAAUAUUGGUCAAUGGACGAGAGUCUGAACCAGCCAAGUAGCGUGAAGGAUGACUGCCCUAUGGGUUGUAAACUUCUUUUAUAUGGGAAUAAAAUGUUCCACGUGUGGGAUUUUGUCUGUACCAUAUGAAUAAGGAUCGGCUAACUCCGUGCCAGCAGCCGAGGUAAUACGGAGGCUCCGAGCGUUAUCCGGAUUUAUUGGGUUUAAAGGGAGCGUAGGUGGAUUGUUAAGUCAGUUGUGAAAGUUUGCGGCUCAACCGUAAAAUUGCAGUUGAAACUGGCAGUCUUGAGUACAGUAGAGGUGGGCGGAAUUCGUGGUGUAGCGGUGAAAUGCUUAGAUAUCACGAAGAACUCCGAUUGCGAAGGCAGUUCACUGGACUGCAACUGACACUGAGGCUCGAAAGUGUGGGUAUCAAACAGGAUUAGAUACCCCUGUAGUC
rnacentral:rRNA from 1 species